rnacentral:rRNA from 1 species
CUGGGAUCAAAGGAUUUCGCCCCUACCCCAGAAAUACCGCUCACCUAUCCCACCCUCUAGCUGUAUGGUAUCAUCCGCAGUCCAACGCUUAGGACGCUGGAUUUAACGGAGGACGGAUACAGCCAGCUACGGACGCUUUAGACCAAAUAAUAGUCCCCACCACUCGAGGGGCUGGUGUUACCGC